rnacentral:rRNA from 1 species
GCGUCAUAGAGGGUGAGAAUCCCGUCUUUGGCACGGAAACCCCAGGGCUUUUGUGAUGCGCUCUCGAAGAGUCGAGUUGUUUGGGAAUGCAGCUCAAAAUGGGUGGUGAACUCCAUCUAAAGCUAAAUAUUGGCGAGAGACCGAUAGCGAACAAGUACCGUGAGGGAAAGAUGAAAAGCACUUUGGAAAGAGAGUGAAACAGUACGUGAAAUUGUUGAAAGGGAAACGCUUGAAGUCAGUCGCGUCGACCGAGACUCAGCCUUGCCCUUGGCUUGGUGUACUUCUCGGCUGACGGGUCAGCAUCAAUUUUGCCCCUUGGAUAAUGGCGAGGGAAAUGUGACACCUUUACGGUGUGUUAUAGUCUCUUGUCGCAUGCAAGGGUUGGGAUUGAGGAACUCAGCACGCACCUUUGGGUGUCGGGGCUUUGCCCACGAUACGUGCUUAGGAUGUUGGCGUAAUGGCUUUAAACGACCCGUCUUGAAACACGGACCAAGGAGUCUAACAUGCCUGCGAGUGUUCGGGUGGAAAACUCGUGCGCGCAAUGAAAGUGAAAGUUGGGACCUCUGUCGUGGAGGGCACCGGCGCCCGGACCAGACCUUCUGUGACGGCUCUGCGGUAAAGCAUGUAUGUUAGGACCCGAAAGAUGGUGAACUAUGCCUGAAUAGGGUGAAGCCAGAGGAAACUCUGGUGGAGGCUCGUAGCGAUUCUGACGUGCAAAUCGAUCGUCAAAUUUGGGUAUAGGGGCGAAAGACUAAUCGAACCAUCUAGUAGCUGGUUCCUGCCG